GACGAACGCUGGCGGCGUGCUUAACACAUGCAAGUAGAACGGUGAGGACAUGAUUUUGCGGUGUGUUGGAGUGGCGCGCAGGGGAGUAUCACGUGUAUAUCAUGCGCUUGACAUUGGGAUAACUUCAGGAAAAACGAGCUCUUACAGGACAGGACCUCGUGCUGCAUGGUGGGGGUAGGAGAGAUUCGCAGGUUUGGGAUGGAAUCGCGGAUUAUCAGUUUGUUGGUGGGUAAGUGGCUUACCAGGGCUUUGACGGGUAGCCGGCCUGAGAGGGUGACCGGCCACAUUGGGACUGAGGUACGGCCCAGACUCCUACGGGAGGCAGCAGUGGGAAACAUUGCACAAUGGGCGGAAGCCUGAUGCAGCAACGCCGCGUGCGGGAUGACGGCCUUCGGGUUGUAAACCGCUUGCGCCUGUGACGAAGCGUGUGUGACGGUAACGGGUAAAGAAGCACCGGCUAACUACGUG
rnacentral:rRNA from 1 species